rnacentral:rRNA from 1 species
GAAAAGGAUCAUUUCGAUUUUAACUGGAGAGUUUGAUCCUGGCUCAGAACGAACGCUGGCGGCGUGCCUAACACAUGCAAGUCGCACGAGAAAUCCUGGGCAACUGGGAGAGUAAAGUGGCGCACGGGUGA